CGACCGGCGCACGGGUGCGUAACGCGUAUGCAACCUACCUGUAACAGGGGGAUAACACUGAGAAAUCGGUACUAAUACCGCAUAACACUAUGAGAGGCAUCUCUUGUGGUUGAAAGUUUCGGCGGUUACAGAUGGGCAUGCGUUGUAUUAGCUGGUUGGUAAGGUAACGGCUUACCAAGGCGACGAUACAUAGGGGGACUGAGAGGUUAACCCCCCCACAUUGGUACUGAGACACGGACCAAACUCCUACGGGAGGCAGCAG
rnacentral:rRNA from 1 species